GCCUGGGUGGCUCAGUGGUUGAGUGUCUGCCUUUGGAUCAGGUUGGGAUCCUGGGAUUGAGUCCCACAUCAGGCU
rnacentral:tRNA from 1 species